rnacentral:rRNA from 1 species
AACGAACGCUGGCGGCAUGCCUAACACAUGCAAGUCGAACGAUACCGCCGGGUCUAGUGUCGCACGGGUGCGUAACGCGUGGGAAGCUGCCCUUAGGGUCGGAAUAACUCCCCGAAAUGGGGGCUAACCCCGGGUAAUGUUGGCUGACCAAAGAUUUAUCGCCUUUGGCUGAGCCCGCGUUCGAUUAGCUAGUUGUUUGGGUGAGAGCCUACCAGGGCGGCGAUCCAUAGCUGGCCUGGGAGGGUGGACAGCCACACUGGGACGGAGACACGGCCCAGACGGCGACGGGAGGCAGCAGGGGGUAAUAUGGGACAGUGGGCGUGGGGCUGAUGCAACGACGCGGGGAGGGGGAUGUAGGCCUGCGGGUUGGGAACCUGUAUCGCUAGGGAAGCAAACCCGCCUUGUUCGUGGGUGGGUUGACGGUAGCUGGAGAAGAAGCGCCGGCUAACUACGUG